GAGCGAGAGUAUAGGUAUUCAUUGAGAAUGAGAGUACUGAGCGUGACCACCUCGAGCAGUCAUAAGAAAGUCUACCUUCUCGUCGAUGACUAGCUCGAUGCUGCAGCUGUGUGUCUAGUUCUUUGAUCUGAGGUACAUCGAUAGUUCAUCUUGAGUGUGUUAUAGUUUGACUACACCAUAACUCGAUCUCCUAGCCAUUCGAAAACCCUGAGGUGUAUGUUGGCUGUAGCAUAUUCAUUGUAGGAACCAGAUUGCACCAAGAUGGGAUCUAUCAACCUCGGU
rnacentral:lncRNA from 1 species